rnacentral:rRNA from 1 species
UACGUAGGUGGCAAGCGUUGUCCGGAAUUAUUGGACGUAAAGCGCGCGCAGGCGGUCUUUUAAGUCUGAUGUGAGAGCCCACGGCUCAACCGUGGAGGGUCAUUGGAAACUGGGAGACUUGAGUGCAGAAGAGAAGAGUGGAAUUCCAUGUGUAGCGGUGAAAUGCGUAGAGAUAUGGAGGAACACCAGUGGCGAAGGCGACUCUUUGGUCUGUAACUGACGCUGAGGCGCGAAAGCGUGGGGAGCAAACAGGAUUA